AUCACUUCCCUGUUGAAGGGGGCUCAGGGAGAGUUGAAAGGUGCUACAUCAAUGCACAACAUUUCCUCUCCUGUCCCCUCAGCUGUGCAGCUCAGCUGUGUGUCCUCUGGCACCUACAAAAUCAAACACCUGCCAUCCAGAUGUUUGCACCUACAGGCUGGAGAAGUUGGCUACAGCAAGUCCUUUAGAAUGGAGACAGGUAUUUAGUGGAGGGCAAGAUUUAAUGGAAUUCUUGGCCUGAAAAGACUUGGGCUUUCUACCUUGCUACUUGAUAUCAAGAAUUUUCAUGGCUGAGCUUUCUCUUCACUGGACUACGGGGGCAACUUCAAAAGCAAUAUGCUGAUAUAGAUAAGCAACUAGAUCCCUGAGUCAUUGGUUGAAGGAAAACUCCUACCAAGCCACCUUGGACUUCUAGUCAGUGAGAAUUUAAUUUUUGUUGUGUUAAGACACCAAGAUUAGGAGCUGGCCUGUGCCAACCACCAGCAAUAAUUAUCCUAAUAGGUUGGUGUUAGGUUAGUUGUUUCCAGGAAAAGUAUUCUAGCAAGCAACAGCUAUUCUUCAGAAUAGGCUGAUGGAAGCCUGUUUCUGCCUAGUCUUGCACAGUCUCCACAAGUUUUCACAAGCAUCCUUUGUGGGAGCCUGGAGUACUAACCAAUCCCAAAAGGACAUCUCUGGAUUGCUGAGGUCCCUGCAGCUUGAUGAUUGGAAAGUAACUUCCUCAAUGUCCAGAGAGCUCUUACUGAAACUACCAACAUUCUGGCUACAUAGGCACAACAGUGGAUCUGACUGCAUUGAUUCAGUCAACAAAUGUUUACUACAUACUUAUAAAGGUCCAGACAGUCUUCUGGGAGCUGGCAUGUAUAGUGGCAUUUCACCUCCUUCAUGGUCCUGCUCCCAUCCUCCCAAGAUGGCAAUUAUAUAACAUGAUGGAAAGCACAUACUCAGGAACUGAGCUAGGUGCCGGACCACAUCAAGGACCUCUUCCAACUCCUCAAGAACCCAUUAGAUAAGAAUUCUUCUCUUGCUCUUAUAGAUAAGGAGCCUGACUUACAGAGAGCCUCCAGGUGACAAGGCCAGGAAAUGCAGAGACUUCUCAGCUCCCAGACUCCCUAACUUCUGUACUCUUUUUGCUAUACAUGGAUAUUUCAAGAUUCCUUCCCAAAUUAGUCACAUGAGAUUCUCAGGAUGUUCUCUCCAUGGUCAAGUUCUUCCAGUAGGCAGAGAACUUUCUUACUAGUCACAGGACAGCUGAUUCAGAUUCUGGCCCAAGAAUCAUGAAAUCCAGACUGCAUCAUGGUGAUCUCAUGAGAAA